AGAGUUUGAUUCUGGCUCAGGAUGAACGCUGGCGGCGUGCCUAACACAUGCAAGUCGAACGGACUUACACAGAAGCAGGAGAUGCUUGCAUUGACUAACGGAAGUGUAAGUUAGUGGCGGACGGGUGAGUAACGCGUGGGCAACCUGCCCCAUACCGGGGGAUAACACCUGGAAACAGGUGCUAAAACCGCAUAAGCGCACAGCUUCGCAUGAAGGUGUGUGAAAAACUCCGGUGGUAUGGGAUGGGCCCGCGUCUGAUUAGCUGGUUGGCGGGGUAACGGCCCACCAAGGCAACGAUCAGUAGCCGGCCUGAGAGGGUGGACGGCCACAUUGGGACUGAGACACGGCCCAAACUCCUACGGGAGGCAGCAGUGGGGAAUAUUGGACAAUGGGGGAAACCCUGAUCCAGCGACGCCGCGUGAGUGAAGAAGUAUUUCGGUACGUAAAGCUCUAUCAGCAGGAAAGAAAAUGACGGUACCUGACUAAGAAGCCCCGGCUAACUACGUGCCAGCAGCCGCGGUAAUACGUAGGGGGCAAGCGUUAU
rnacentral:rRNA from 1 species